rnacentral:misc_RNA from 1 species
AAAGUCGUAACAAGGUAACCGUAGGUGAACCUGCGGUUGGAUCAUUAGUGAUUUAACAGUCUUUGGUUAUAGUCCGCUUUUAAGUAAGCGUUGAUUUAAACCAUUGGCUUUAUACACCCUGUGCAACGUAAUUGUCUUGGGCUGUUUUGGGUUUAUAUGAUUAUACACUCGUUCAAAGAAGCAGCCCAAAUUUAUACACCCUAACCUUUACUGAAACUAAGAAUUUAUAAUCAAAAAUAAACUUUUGACAACGGAUCUCUUGGCUCUC